rnacentral:rRNA from 1 species
CCUACGGGCGGCAGCAGUGAGGAAUAUUGGUCAAUGGCCGCAGGGCUGAACCAGCCAAGCCGCGUGAGGGAUGACGGUCCUACGGAUUGUAAACCUCUUUUGUCAGGGAGCAAAGGGCGCCACGAGUGGCGUUUUGCGAGUACCUGAAGAAAAAGCAUCGGCUAACUCCGUGCCAGCAGCCGCGGUAAUACGGGGGAUGCGAGCGUUAUCCGGAUUUAUUGGGUUAAAAGGGUGCGCAGGCGGAAUGUCAAGUCAGCGGUAAAAUUUCGGGGCUCAACCCCGUCGAGCCGUUGAAACUGGCGUUCUUGAGGUGGCGAGAAGGAUGCGGAAUGCGUGGUGUAGCGGUGAAAUGCAUAGAUAUCGCGCAGAACUCCGAUUGCGAAGGCAGCAUACCGGCGCUAAACUGACGCUCAGGCACGAAAGCGUGGGUAUCGAACAGGAUUAGAUACCCUUGUAGUC